AUAUCUAAAAUUGUCUUUGCCAUAGUUGUCUCCAUCUCGAAAAUUAAUAGCAGUCGUUUUUAAUUACAAGUGAAUUUUCACUAAUUAAAGUAACGCCUGUUCUAUAGAACCAAAGGAUAUCAAUGACUUCAAAAUAGAUGAAACAAAGAGCAAAAAUUAUUCACGCAACAUAAUUAAAACAGAAUGCGACAGAAAAGGGUUGAGGUUUAAGCUUUGACAUGGUGUAACCACAGGCAACCGCAAUGCGGCAAAGGCAAAGUGUUGUCAUUUGUUUUGGGUAUUUGCAAACAGCGGGGCAGGAUUUAAUUACACACAAUUACCGGAUACCACAAGGCGAUCCAUUUACACUUAAGCUCCACUGGGCACAGCCGAUGUCGCUUUCAAGGCAACAGACAUUUUAACGAAUUUUAUGCAAAUUGAAAACGGAAACACUUUGAAAUCGCGACUCAGCUGUCUCCCUUGGGUAGUAGAGAGUCGCACGACCUGAGCUAUGGAUUUUUGAUGCUCCCGUUCAACUCUUUCGCCGGAUGAAAGUGGAUCCGGUAUGGCAGGAUUAUUGGGGAGGGAGAGAGUAGCAGCUUGUCGCGUCGUUUCGUGUUAGUUGAGUUAUUAUUGUAUGCUGAGACUGAGUGCUUUGUUAAUAUUGGAUUGCUUUGCAGUUACAGAAGUUCAUUGGGACCACUCUGCGAG